GAUGAACGCUGGCGGCGUGCCUAAUACAUGCAAGUCGAACGAGUUCUCGUUGAUGAUCGGUGCUUGCACCGAGAUUCAACAUGGAACGAGUGGCGGACGGGUGAGUAACACGUGGGUAACCUGCCCUUAAGUGGGGGAUAACAUUUGGAAACAGAUGCUAAUACCGCAUAGAUCCAAGAACCGCAUGGUUCUUGGCUGAAAGAUGGCGUAAGCUAUCGCUUUUGGAUGGACCCGCGGCGUAUUAGCUAGUUGGUGAGGUAAUGGCUCACCAAGGCGAUGAUACGUAGCCGAACUGAGAGGUUGAUCGGCCACAUUGGGACUGAGACACGGCCCAAACUCCUACGGGAGGCAGCAGUAGGGAAUCUUCCACAAUGGACGCAAGUCUGAUGGAGCAACGCCGCGUGAGUGAAGAAGGCUUUCGGGUCGUAAAACUCUGUUGUUGGAGAAGAAUGGUCGGCAGAGUAACUGUUGUCGGCGUGACGGUAUCCAACCAGAAAGCCACGGCUAACUACGUGCCAGCAGCCGCGGUAAUACGUAGGUGGCAAGCGUUAUCCGGAUUUAUUGGGCGUAAAGCGAGCGCAGGCGGUUUUUUAAGUCUGAUGUGAAAGCCCUCGGCUUAACCGAGGAAGCGCAUCGGAAACUGGGAAACUUGAGUGCAGAAGAGGACAGUGGAACUC
rnacentral:rRNA from 1 species